CUUUUCUAUAAAGUGAUCAAACAUUUUUUUACUUAUUACAAGGAGAAAAAAUAUGGCUCAUAUUCCAUAUUUGUUUUAUGCACCCAUUAUCUUUCUUUAUGUAUUUUUUGUCCUAACCAAAAUUGACAUUCCAAAUAUUAUUCCAUGCAAAACACGAGUUGAUUGCCCGGUAGAUAUGUGUGAACUUUCACAAAUUGUGUGGUGUAUUGAUGGUUCUUGUAAAUGCUUGUAAAUAUAAAAAUAAGUUGAAGAAUAAUUAUAUACAACUUGUAUCCGUAUAACUAAAUUUGAACAUCAUAAUAUUAGUACUCUUAUAAUUUCCUUCAAACUUUUAUUUAUGUUUCUUUGACAUGGUCAAAUGUGUAUUGUUAUUUUACACAAGUAUAUUAUUGUUGAUCCGGUUGGUUAUAAGAGGAUGGUUGAGUUGCUUGAAUCUGCCACCUUCAAAGGUUGAUCUGCAGUGAGCCAGGUUCUCUUGAACUACGGUGAUUCUGGUGAGGUAGGUUGAUCAUCAGUCCAGUGAGACAAGGGGGGUUUGUGUACCUACAAUUGCUCCGACGCCCAAGUAAGUAAAGGGUUCAGAGAAGGUGAUGAUAGGCAGUCUUACAUUAUUCAUAACAUGUUUUUCAAGUAUUUUUUUGUCAUUUUUCAUCAAAAAUAAAGAAUUAUUAGAACAAUUGCUUAUGGUUUUCGGGACAGUGUAAUGUUUUCUAUAUUGAAUCAUGCAACUAUAGUUUCCCCCGAAACAUAGCAAUUCUAGGGUGUUAUGAUGUAGUUCAAGAAGAAAUCAUGCAAAUCAGCUUAGCAAAACAUUUGAAGACUAGUAAAGACCACGAAUGAAGAUUAAAGAGGUCUCAGAAGAAAUUUUAAAGGAAGGACUUAUGUUUCCAAGUUCCAAGACAUCUUAUAAGAAGGAAUCACCCAAAAGACGAAGAAACAAACAAUUUCGCACCGAAAGUAGCACCUAUGCACCUAGGGCAUGCAAAAUGUGCGCAGGGUAUGAGCCAUGCACCAGGGCAUGUCAAAAUAUGCCUAUGCUCCUAAUCAUGCGCCUGGGGAAUGCUGAGAGCGAGUCAGAAUUGAUUUUUUUUCUUCACUUUUUAAGCGGUUUAAGCCAAAAUUUCAACCUAAAUUCAGUUUGAAACUUUCUUAUAAAUAUUAAGCCUCUCACUCAUUAUUUUCCAUUCAGAACGAAACGGUUGAAGAGUAAGGCAAGAACUAGGAGCUUCAAGGGAGGAGUCUCUCUCCCCACUCAAAGUCUCUAGGGUGUGUUUUAUUUCUAUUGUAAUUUGUCUUUAGUUACCAUGAGUAACUAAACCUUUUUAGGCUAGAGUUUUAAGAUUAACUUCUAUUUUGUUUGUUGGAUUAUUUAAUUCAAAUUCUUUAUUCAGUUUUUUUUAA